rnacentral:rRNA from 1 species
GACGUAGGAUGCGAGCGUUGUUCGGAUUUAUUGGGCGUAAAGCGUGCGUAGGCGGUUUCAUAAGUCUGGUGUUAAAGCUAGGGGCUCAACCCCUGUGAUGCACUGGAAACUGUGAGACUUGAGUGCGGUAGGGGAAGGUGGAAUUCCGAGUGUAGCGGUGAAAUGCGUAGAUAUUCGGAAGAACACCGGUGGCGAAGGCGACCUUCUGGGCCGCAACUGACGCUGAGGCACGAAAGCCUGGGGAGCGAACGGG